AAUCACUGUUACUUUGGGGUUAGCUUUUCCUGUCCCCCAGCCAGGGUAGAUGAGACAGCUAUUACAGUGACUUAGCCUCUUUGCCUCCCUAUAGCACAAGACUGGCUUUACAUAUCAUCAAAGCUACCAGUUUUUUAGAUGGCGUGAUUCAAAUAGCUUGCUGGCAGUGGUCUUUGUCCAAAGUAUCUACUUCACUAGCUCUCUCUGGGGCUUAUAAUCUUCAUAGUAAUAAUUUAUUGAGGUUCAAAUGCCAAUAUGAUCUCAAAAGUGCUAGUUACUAUCAAUACUUUAUCACAGUUAGUUUAUCCUUUUAAUUGCUUUUUUUUUUUUUUUUUUUGGUCUUUUUACCUUUUCUAGGGCUGCUUCCUGCGGCAUAUGGAGGUUCCCAGGCUAGGGAUCUAAUCAGAGCUGUAGCCGCUGGCCUACGCAAGAGCCACAGCAACUCGGGAUCCGAGCCACACCUGCGACCUACACCACAGCUCACGGCAACCCUGGAUUCUUAACCCACUGAGCAAGGCCAGGGAUCAAACCCAUAACCUCAUGGUUCCUAGUCAGAUUCGUUAACCACUGUGCCAUGAUGGGAACUCCUAUCCUUUAAAUUUCUGAUCGCUAAUGAAAUGGGACAGAAUGUAAAUAAGAUUCAAUGGAAAGAUGAAGUCAAGUAGUAUUUGACAGUGUUACAGAAAAAGCAAACAAGCGGGAUAUGGCAGUGCAGGACCAGAGGCUGCAGAAGAGACUGUGCAUUUGUUUGUGGACCCCCCAAAAGGGGACAGUUACUAUAGAUGGGGAUUAAAGAGGCGUAACAAACAUGUUUCCAGUUUUUAAACAGUUUAAUAGAGCAUGCUUAUGCUACAGAAUUAUGUAAUUUUUUUCUUGCAUUUUUUUUAGGGCCUCACCCACAGCAUAUGGAGGUUUCCAGGCCAGGGGUGCAAUCGGAGCUGCAGCUGCCAGCCUAUGCCUCGUCACAGCAACAUCAGAUCUGAGCCAUGUCUGUGUCUGUGAUCUACACCACAGCUCAUGGCAAUGCCAGAUCCUUAACCUACUGAGUGAGGCCAGGGAUCGAAGCCACAACCUCAUGGUUCCUAGUUAGAUUCGUUCCCACUGUGCCACAACAGGAACUCCAGAACUACGUAAUUUUUUGAGACAGAAAGAAAUAUAUCAAAUGAAAAAAAUCCCUCCUGGUUAACUACUGUGUAUGUAAUCAGAUGUUUUCUGGGGUUGCCUGGGGACUCUCAUUUACCAAACACAGGUCAGUGACACUGUCCAUUGUCACAUAGCUUAGUUUAUUUCUACAAUUUCUUUUUUUUUUCUUUGGCAAAAUUGGCCAAGGAGGCUAAAGAAAAGAUUACUAAGUUAAUCUUCCACCAAAUGUGUUUUGUUUGAUUUUCAUCCUCCUCUAAGAGCUUCCCAUACAACUUCAGUGCCACCCACUCCCAGAUCUGCAGUCAGACUGGAAUGCAUUUUCAGUUAUAUAAUAAAACAUCCACAGCCCCUUUUAGUCUCUUAUACAGAAAGACACAGUGGUACAGGUACUGAAAACAAAGGCUUUGGAAUCAGAUAGGCCUAGGUUAGCAUCUUGGCUCUGCAAUUUACUAGCUUUCUAACCUUGAUAGUUGUUUAAGUUCUCAGGAUCUUCGUUUCCCCCAUUAUUAUGUGAGAAUACAAACCUUGUAAAGUCAAUGUGAGAAUUAAAUGAGAUUAUGCAUGUGAAAGUUUUUCACAGCACUUGGUACAUUGUAGUCACUCAAUAAGUGUUAGUUAUAGCAUGUUGUUUACAUUACUAAUAAUUUUAAUAUGCCAAUUGUAAACCAGGUAGCUCUAUUUUUUUCCUUCUCUCUCCUCUCUUUCCAUAACAUUAGAAUAAAAAGGAGGAGCUUGAGUAUGUUUGGAAAGAAGUAACCUAGGCUUUUGCCUCACCGUCCUCCACUCUUCCCUAGGCAUGAGACUUUAAGGGGAAGCAAGAGCCUCCUUAGUCAUUACUAUAGAUAAAUUUGGUCCUAUCCUUUUGAUUUAUCCUGAAUCAACCACCUUUAGCCUUGGUUGGUCUGCACUGACCCACACAGAUAUCCACACUACUGACACUACUGUCAUUUACCUUAUGGCAGAGACUUGCCAAUUGCAGAAAUUGAUCCAUUGCCAUAAUCCUUUUUCUCUUCAAGGUCACCUUCUCUAUCUUCCCCUGUUCAGGGAAAAGUUGCCACUGACAAUCAUAUUUGAGCAUUUAAAACCUUAUCACCUCUGAGAAGUUAUCUGUUAUAGUUCUUCUCUCCAGAGAUUUUCUAUGAGAGAGAAAUACAAAGUAAUCUAUUUAUAGCUUCUGAGUGCCCACACUUAUUUAUGAUUCUGGUGGGGGAUAUUGUUCACAUGUUACAUUUUCAAGGCUUGUUUCUCUAAGUGGAAUAUUUCCAAGACUGGUCUUUUUCUACUGUAUUGGGCAAGGGAAAAUUUUUUUCUUCUGAAUACUGUAUGGAUGAAUUUUCCUUCUAUUGCUUGUAUGAAUUUUAGAAAUACUGGUAAGCUUAAUGUCAGAUAGAAGAGAUACAGGGCAGAAGGAGAAACAGAUACUUUACACUUCCAGGGGUGCUGUGAGGGUUAGUUUAUAUUUUGAAAAACUCUCUGAGCUCCUUGGAUGAAAGACAUCACAGACAAUGAAAAUAUACAGGAAAUAUCAUGUAUAAAUAAUGAUAAUUGAUUGCAACAGAUCUCUAAAGCUGUCUCAAGACUAUUUCUCCAGUUCAGCAUAAUGCAGUGUUUAUCAUAUAUACAAAUUCAAGAAAUCUCUUUGGAGGGGAGUAAACAAAAUUUAGAGUUCUAAAAAGCAAUGUUCAAAGUCAGAGAGAAAUGUUGGGGGAAUCAACCAAUAGCUAAGAAAACAGGCACCCUGAGACACACAUACAAAAUUUGAAUUGUGGUGCAGGAAGAGGCAAAUGAGUUUUUAUAAAUGGGCCUAUUUUAACACACAAGGAAAUACAAGUUUUUAUUAUUUCUAAGAAUUAUAUGCCAAAUACAGGCUAAUGCUAUAGCUUCAGUGAUCUCUAUUUAAAUAUUAGUAUGAUUAGUAGAUGAUAUGUGAAAGACAUGGAGUAGGUGUCAGGGUCAAGUGGUUUUAGUCACACUAAAUGUUUGAAAGUUUGAUUUAUGAAUUAGUCUCUUGGCAUUUGAGCUAAAGGUUGGGGCACAUGUCUCUCACCCCAUGCCCAAGGCUCAUGCUUUUACAAUGAUGGUUUCUUUUAGCUGUGGUAUUUAUAAAAAUUGCAGAUAUAUGAGCAAAGUUUGUUUUCAGUACCAUUAUAUCCUUGGUCUCCCCUAAUACCAUUCCCAUGCACUCACUGCAUUUAUUCCAUUCUUUAGUUACCUUGACCAUUCCUGGUAGCCUUCUAAACUCCAAAAUUUUCUUGCCUGCAUCAACCCCUUAUACCCAAUGAAACACAACUAUCCAUUGUCAUACUCAAGGCCAUUAUCUUUACUAAGUAGACUAAUUUGUUCUCAUUUCCAGAGCAUACCUUCACAUUUGAUCUGGCCCCGUCAGUUAAUAAGGCCAAUGGAGAGAGAUGUUAUUGAACAUCUACAAAUUGUACUGGGGUCAGAAGAGAUUUUUUUUUUGAUGGGGGUGAGGUAAAAGUGGAGGAUAUCAUUACCAAGUGGCACCUAAUAUCUUGAAGUAAUCUUUUGACUCUAAAUAUUAUUUACAGUUAGAGAAGUCCUAACGAUAUACAAGUAAUAUGUGAACAAACAUUAUUUGAAUAGCCUGAGAGAACAGCGAGAGAAACCUUGGUUUGGUUCUCUGGAGAGUGGCAGCUAUGGUCAGCUCUACACUUCUGCCAAACCAUUCAAAUCCUUGAAGAGAAGGGUUUAUAUAAAAUAUUUUCUUCAGAAUUUUAGAAAUACUGGUAAGCUUAAUGUCAGGUAGAAGAGAUACAGGGCAGAAGGAGAAACAGAUACUUAUUAGGAGGUAGUACAAUGAAACAAAGAUUUUACUUUGCAUAAUAAUCAGUCUUCUUUCACUUGUAACAGAGAGAGAAAACGUACACACGCAUAUAUAUUUGAAGAGAGAAAGGAAAGUUAUUGGGAUGUUAUAACAACUGAGAUUUUGAAAAGAUAAGUGGAUGAAGAAUAUUUUAAAGAGUUGUGGUGUAUAAAAUUUGCAACCUCUUCUUGGCAUUUCCUGAUACUUCAGUAAGUAUUUUAAUACUUUUGAAUUAUUUUGUGUGUGUUGAUUUUGUAUUUAUUUAUGUGUGAAACUGAAAUGAAAUUGGUCCAUGUGGUGUAUUAGGCUUUAUGUGGGUAAUGCAAAGGUAUAGAUUUGUUUCAUAAAACCCAAGGGCAAUGGCAUGGGCUGAAUUGUGUCCCCCAUAAAAUUUAUAUGUUUAAGUUCCAACACAGUAUAUCAGAAUGUGAUGCAUUUGGAGAUAGAGAUUUUAAAGAGUUAAUUAAAGUUAAAUGAGGUAAUAAAUGCUGGCUCUAAUCAAAUGUGACUGGUGUCCUUAUACGAAAAGCAAAUUUGGACACAGACACACAUAGAGGAAAGACCAUAUGAAGACAGAGGGAGAAAAUGAGUAUCUGCAAGCCAAGGAUAGAGCCUCAAAAGAAACCAGCCUGUUGACACCUUGCUCUCAAACUUCUAGCCUCCAGAACUGUGAUAAAAUAAAUUUCUGUUUAUGAAGCCACUGUGGUAUUUUGUUACAGUAGCCUUAGCAGACUAAUACAGGUAGAAACACAUCUGAGCCUCAAAAAAAAGGAUUAGAAUCAAGAAAUCAAAAGCCUCCAUAAAUCCAAGGAGUAUUAUACAUUGCUUGAUUCAUUUUUCUCUUAUACUGAAGAUUUUCCUUCUUCUUAUGACUGUGUGGCAACAUAUGGUUGCCCUACAAUUCU
rnacentral:lncRNA from 1 species